UGCGUAGGUGGUCCGUUAAGUUCGUUGUGAAAUCCCUGGGCUCAACCCAGGAACUGCUUCGAAUACUGGCGGACUUGAGGCCAGUAGGGGUCACUAGAACUGACGGUGGAGCGGUGAAAUGCGUAGAUAUCGUCAGGAAUGCCGGUGGUGAAGACGGGUGACUGGGCUGGUUCUGACACUGAGGCACGAAAGCGUGGGGAGCGAACGGGAUUAGACACCCCGGUAGUCCACGCCCUAAACGAUGCAGACUAGAUUGCAGCGGGUCUUACCCCCGUUGCGGUCGGAGCGAAAUUGUUAAGUCUGCCACCUGGGAAGUACGGUCGCAAGGCUAAA
rnacentral:rRNA from 1 species